rnacentral:lncRNA from 1 species
CCAGGGAGCAAGAGAAGCCCUGCGACAGCAGCAAGGGACACUGUGGGGCUGCAGGAUGGGGAAACUGAGGCCCAGAAUGACGAGAGUUCCUGUCUAUGUUUGGAAGGACUAAAAUAAUGCGUUUAGUUCCCAAUGAAACAGGGCAAAAAUUGUUAACAUCUGUGUGUUCUCCUUCCCCCCUCCCUAAGACAGAGAAGGUGGCAGCUCAGCCCUCACUGUGUCCUGGCCCAUGACCCCCUAAUUCACCAAAGGGGCUUGCAGUGGUUUAUUAAAAUGGCUGCAUGUCCUCUGGCACUCUCUUCAUGGAGAAGCGGGGUCUAUGUGCCUUCUCUUGGAGUUGGAUGGGCCUGUGCUGGUUUUCAUCCAUGGUCAGAACAUGCUGUGGAAGCCCAGGCUCCCCAGGAAGUCCCUGUCUUGGUGGCCCUGUCAACAGCCUCCACUGAGCUGAGCUUUUCAGUCUACCCAGCCUGGGUGCCAGAUGUGGGGAAGUUUCCAGCAGGGAAGCCUUCAGCCCCAGCCAAUGAAUUCUUCCCAGCUGAGGCCCAGACAUCGGGGAGCAGAGACAAGCCAUCCUCAUGCCCUGUGUCAACCUGAAAUAAGUGAAAGGAUUGGAAUCAGCUUUAAAGAGUUUAUUCAAGUAAAAAGCUGGGAAUGACCAUUCAGAAAACAAGGAUUCCACAGAAAUGGAGUUAGUGCUCUGAAGUGAAAAGUUAAGGUCUGGCUUAUAUAGGAGGAAAAUAAAGAAAUUUAACAGGAUUAAAACAUUUUCUAUACAAGCCUGGUUUAUGGGUUCUAACAAUUUGAUAGUUUGUUUUCUUUUCUGUAUGGCUUGCUUUCAUUUGCUUUCCAAUUUAAAAGAGUAUAUUUAACAUAGUCACAAAGUCUUCGUGUGGAAAAUGUAAGAGGGAUGUUAAUCUAUAAUAAAGACCAACACUAAGAGGGAAGGAGUCUUCCCUGGCACCCUUUAAUCAUUUGCAACAUUUCACAAAACAGUGUAGGUAAGGAA